AAUCUUCCACAAUGGACGAAAGUCUGAUGGAGCAACGCCGCUUGAGCGAAGAAGGUUUUCGGAUCUUAAAGCUCUGUUGCGAGGGAAGAACAAGUACGGGAGUAACUGCCCGUACCUUGACGGUACGUCGUCAGAAAGCCACGGCGACCUACGUUCCAGUAGCCGCGGUAAUACGUAGGUGGCAAGCGUUGUCCGGAAUUAUUGGGCGUAAAGCGCGCGCAGGCGGUCCUUUAAGUCUGAUGUGAAAGCCCACGGCUCAACCGUGGAGGGUCAUUGGAAACUGGAGGACUUGAGUACAGAAGAGGAAAGCGGAAUUCCACGUGUAGAGGUGAAAUGCGUAGAGAUGUGGAGGAACACCAGUGGCGAAGGCGGCUUUCUGGUCUGUAACUGACGCUGAGGCGCGAAAGCGUGGGGAGCAAACA
rnacentral:rRNA from 1 species